rnacentral:rRNA from 1 species
AGAGUUUGAUCAUGGCUCAGAUUGAACGCUGGCGGCAGGCCUAACACAUGCAAGUCGAACGGUAACAGGAAACAGCUUGCUGUUUCGCUGACGAGUAGGCGGACGGGUGAGUAAUGUCUGGGAAACUGCCUGAUGGAGGGGGAUAACUACUGGAAACGGUAGCUAGUACCGCAUAACGUCGCAAGACCAAAGAGGGGGACCUUCGGGCCUCUUGCCAUCGGAUGUGCCCAGAUGGGAUUAGCUAGUAGGUGGGGUAACGGCUCACCUAGGCGACGAUCCCUAGCUGGUCUGAGAGGAUGACCAGCCACACUGGAACUGAGACACGGUCCAGACUCCUACGGGAGGCAGCAGUGGGGAAUAUUGCACAAUGGGCGCAAGCCUGAUGCAGCCAUGCCGCGUGUAUGAAGAAGGCCUUCGGGUUGUAAAGUACUUUCAGCGGGGAGGAAGGGAGUAAAGUUAAUACCUUUGCUCAUUGACGUUACCCGCAGAAGAAGCACCGGCUAACUCCGUGCCAGCAGCCGCGGUAAUACGGAGGGUGCAAGCGUUAAUCGGAAUUACUGGGCGUAAAGCGCACGCAGGCGGUUUGUUAAGUCAGAUGUGAAAUCCCCGGGCUCAACCUGGGAACUGCAUCUGAUACUGGCAAGCUUGAGUCUCGUAGAGGGGGGUAGAAUUCCAGGUGUAGCGGUGAAAUGCGUAGAGAUCUGGAGGAAUACCGGUGGCGAAGGCGGCCCCCUGGACGAAGACUGACGCUCAGGUGCGAAAGCGUGGGGAGCAAACAGGAUUAGAUACCCUGGUAGUCCACGCCGUAAACGAUGUCGACUUGGAGGUUGUGCCCUUGAGGCGUGGCUUCCGGAGCUAACGCGUUAAGUCGACCGCCUGGGGAGUACGGCCGCAAGGUUAAAACUCAAAUGAAUUGACGGGGGCCCGCACAAGCGGUGGAGCAUGUGGUUUAAUUCGAUGCAACGCGAAGAACCUUACCUGGUCUUGACAUCCACGGAAGUUUUCAGAGAUGAGAAUGUGCCUUCGGGAACCGUGAGACAGGUGCUGCAUGGCUGUCGUCAGCUCGUGUUGUGAAAUGUUGGGUUAAGUCCCGCAACGAGCGCAACCCUUAUCCUUUGUUGCCAGCGGUCCGGCCGGGAACUCAAAGGAGACUGCCAGUGAUAAACUGGAGGAAGGUGGGGAUGACGUCAAGUCAUCAUGGCCCUUACGACCAGGGCUACACACGUGCUACAAUGGCGCAUACAAAGAGAAGCGACCUCGCGAGAGCAAGCGGACCUCAUAAAGUGCGUCGUAGUCCGGAUUGGAGUCUGCAACUCGACUCCAUGAAGUCGGAAUCGCUAGUAAUCGUGGAUCAGAAUGCCACGGUGAAUACGUUCCCGGGCCUUGUACACACCGCCCGUCACACCAUGGGAGUGGGUUGCAAAAGAAGUAGGUAGCUUAACCUUCGGGAGGGCGCUUACCACUUUGUGAUUCAUGACUGGGGUGAAGUCGUAACAAGGUAACCGUAGGGGAACCUGCGGUUGGAUCACCU